UACGAAGGGGGCUAGCGUUGCUCGGAAUCACUGGGCGUAAAGCGCACGUAGGCGGCUUCUUAAGUCGGUGGUGAAAUCCUGGAGCUCAACUCCAGAACUGCCUUCGAUACUGAGAGGCUCGAGUCCGGGAGAGGUGAGUGGAACUGCGAGUGUAGAGGUGAAAUUCGUAGAUAUUCGCAAGAACACCAGUGGCGAAGGCGGCUCACUGGCCCGGUACUGACGCUGAUGUGCGAAAGCGUGGGGAGCAAACAGG
rnacentral:rRNA from 1 species